rnacentral:rRNA from 1 species
CAAGUCGAGCGGUAAGGCUCCUGCUCUGUGUUUAACUUCGGUUGAACGUGGGGUUGGAGUACACGAGCGGCGGACGGCUGAGUAACACGUAGGAACGUACCCCAAACUGAGGGAUAAGCACCGGAAACGGUGUCUAAUACCGCAUGUGCUCUUCGGAGUAAAGCUACGGCGGUUUGGGAACGGCCUGCGCAUGAUUAGCUUGUUGGUGAGGUAAUGGCUCACCAAGGCGACGAUCAUUAGCUGGUCUGAGAGGAUGAUCAGCCAGACUGGGACUGAGAACGGCCCAGACUCCUACGGGAGGCAGCAGUAGGGAAUUUUCCACAAUGGGGGCAACCCUGAUGGAGCAACGCCGCGUGCAGGAUGAAGGCUUUCGGGUCGUAAACUGCUUUUAUCUGUGACGAUUAUGACGGUAGCAGAUGAAUAAGGAUCGGCUAACUCCGUGCCAGCAGCCGCGGUCAUACGGAGGAUCCAAGCGUUAUCCGGAAUUACUGGGCGUAAAGAGUUGCGUAGGUGGCAUUGUAAGUUGAUAGUGAAAGCGUCCGGCUCAACCGGAUACACAUUAUCAAAACUGCAAAGCUAGAGGACAAGAGAGGUCACUGGAAUUCCUAGUGUAGGAGUGAAAUCCGUAGAUAUUAGGAGGAACACCGAUGGCGUAGGCAGGUGACUGGCUUGUUCCUGACACUAAGGCACGAAAGCGUGGGUAGCAAACGGGAUUAGAUACCCCGGUAGUCCACGCCGUAAACGAUGGAUGCUAGCUGUAUUCGGUAUCGACCCCGGAUGUAGCGAAGCUAACGCGUUAAGCAUCCCGCCUGUGGAGUACGGUCGCAAGACUAAAACAUAAAGGAAUUGACGGGGGACCCGCACAAGCGGUGGAACGUGUUGUUUAAUUC